AACGUAGGAGACAAACGUUAUCCGGAGUUACUGGGCGUAAAGGGCGUGUAGGUGGUUUCGUAAGUCUGGCGUGAAAUUUUUCGGCUUAACCGGGAAAGGUCGUCGGAUACUGCGGAGCUAGAGGACGGUAGAGGCGUGUGGAAUUCCGGGUGUAGUGGUGAAAUGCGUAGAGAUGCGGAGGAACACCGAUGGCGAAGGCAGCCCCCUGGGCUAGCACUGACGCUCAGGCACGAAAGCGUGGGGAGCAAACAGG
rnacentral:rRNA from 1 species